GGACCAGGGGCUGGGCCCCCCAUCGUCACCCUGGGCCACUAUGGGGAAGUCUGGUCUGUGUGCGCUGGGACCCUGCAGGCUUGUGGCCUCUGCAAACCCCGAUUUCCUGGCUGUGGGAGUGGGGCUGUGGUUCUUGUGCUCGUGCAGUCAGGUGCCUGGGGAGUGCUGGCCACCCACCAAGGGCUCAGUGGUGGGCGACCUGGGGGGCCAGGGCUGCGGUGGCUGCCAUGUGAUCGUUCCUGUGGUCGGGAGGCCUGAUGUGUACCUUUCACCUCUUUGAGUCACUCCUGCAUUGGGUCUCAAGGUCCUGCAGAUCAGCUGUGGUGCUCACCCCUGCCUCACUGAGCCGGACAGGUCCUGCGACUCUAGCAUGGAAGCACUUGAACGCACACUCAGACGGGCUCCUCCAUGUGGUCACUUCCUAGAGACGUGACUUUCUAACAGACGUAGCUCUGUGUUUCCGGCGUGGUAGGCUGUGUCCGUGGCAUGCGAGGCCGCAGCCCCAGCCAGGCUCUGCAGUUCCCGCCGGUCUCGCUGGCGGCGGUGCCCCGUGUCUUUCUCCCAGUUUCUGAAAGGCAGCAGGAGUGGCUACCAUAGACGCAGCCCUCCCCUUGCACUGGGUUAGGGCAGCGCGGUGUUUCCUCUUCCUGAGCUUUGUUUACUUGAGUGUGGACCGAGAAGCCCCCCAAGCCAGGCCUCCAUCCUCUGUGCAUGCGGGAGGUGAGGGAUCUUCGUGAACCCCUGGGAGGUAAGGGAUCUUCGUGUUUCGGUCAGCUGGAGAAAGAAAUCUAAGAGGCCAAACAAAGCGAUGGAGCUGUGUGGCCAUAGCAAGAGUGGCACUUGGAGCUGGGGCCAAGGAAGACCUGUCUGGAACCUUGAUGGCAGGAAGGAGCUGGACCAGCAAGGAGAGGAAAAGCCUUUGGGCAGGGGAACAGCAACUACAAAGACCCUGAGGCAGGGCAUGCUUGGUGUGUGUCAGAGACAGAGGAGCAGGGCUGGCCACAGCCAGUGACCAGGAAGGUGACUGGCCAGGAGGUCAGAGGGGUCGGCAGAGGCCAGAUGAGGACUCGUGGAGAGGCAGCCUGGUUUGACUUCGAAAGCUCCUUCUGCCUGUGGGUUAGAAAAUGGAUUUGGGAGUGUGUGGGGGCGUGGGGGGAGACCAGUGGGGAGCCCAUUCGGUCAGGCAGGAGGGUUGGAGCCGGGACUGGGCGCCAGUGGUGGAGGUGAGAUGGAUGGACAGGGCUGGCCGAUCCUCUGGGCCCUGUAAACUGUUACUGGCUUUGAAGGGUAACUCGGGAAGAAACCUUCAUGUUUAUCCCCUUUGGCCCAAGAAUUCCAUCCUGUGGAAAUAGUCAGAAAUACACACGGAGACUCUUUACAAGUAUUGCACUAUAGUCUUACUCAUGAGGGAGUCAAACUUGAAAUUAUCCCCUCCCUCUUCUUGUCCCUGGGGGACUGGUGGCAUACUGUGGGUGCACCGGUGUGGUAGAACACUGUUCAGGUGAUGGCACAUGUGAUGGGACACUGUUGAGGUGAUGGCGUGGGUGAUGGGACAUUGUUGAGGUGAUGGUGUGGGUGGUGGGACACUGCUCAGGUGAUAGCGCAGGACAGUUGGUGGCUUGGGAGACGUGAACUCCACGGCCGAAAGGGAGACUCUAUCACAGAGUUGUCUGUAGAACCAUCCCAGUUUUGUAAAACGUAGACCCUGUUUACAUGUCACAGAGGUCUGGACAGAAUAUACUCUGUCCCAAUAACUGGCAUAUGGCAGAGUAUUAACAACAAGCCAUUUCGAGGAAUGGAAGGACACAUUAUUACUUUCUCCCAAUAUUUAUGAUCCCUUCACAUUUUCUACGACAAACAUCUUGAAAUCAAGAGUUAAAAACAGUGUUAUUUUUAAAACCUAGUGAUGGGUGCUCUUCCCUGGCCGAGUAUGAACUGGAAUCGUGGAUAGUGGAUGAGUAAUGGCCCUUCUAAACACCCGGCCUCACACAAGGCAGCAUUUGCAUUCAGAGAGUUUGUGUUGAGAAAAGCCUUGGAUUUGAGUCAGAGGGACUGGGGUUGGAGCCCCCGCUCUGCCACUUCCUUAUGCUCAGCCUCUGCCACACAGACCUGGCCCGCUUCAGCUUUGAGAGGGAAUGAAUGGUGGUGAUGACGGAAGCAGUAAGAACACUCUCAUGGAGUUGUGAGGGUUGAACGUGGGGUUGGGGAACAUUUUGCAGCAGGAGGAAGCACAGUGUAAGUGUUGAUACGGAGGCUGGGUCCUCACAUGCAGGCUGAACUGUGGGCACAGGUGUACCUGGGCAGGUCACCGUUUGGCACAUGGUUCGGGUGAUCCAUCCCAUGAGUCUGCAUGGAGUUGAGUGGAGGGAGGUACCAGCUAGAGCUGGGCUGAAGGAGCCACACGAUUAAAGGAGACAUUUGGUUUUUAAGGACCCUGGUCACUGGGAUCUGAAAUGUUCUGUCCUUAGUACAGAAUGGACAUGCACAGAAACUCAGAUGAUCAGCUCACAGGCCCUUCGUUUUUAAAUUCUCAAGUUGCUCAAGCCAGGGACAUCCUGCCUGGCUCUUCAGGGCUCAGGGUGUGCUGGAUGGUGGUGUCCAAAUCAGGGCAUCUUCGAGGAGAGUUACCCUCCAAAGAGAAGCUGUUUAGACAACAGAUCCAGGGCUAGAGCAUGAGGGUUUAAGCCCCUGCUUUCAGCUGGCAUUUCUGGGAAAAGGAGGUGAGGCGGCCAGGCCUGACCAGGUGUGUGUCUCUGGGGACUCCCAGCCCCCGAGGUGGGGAAACACAGUACACGCCAGGAUCAGCAGAUGAGCUGCUAGCAAGUGGAGACGAGAGCCCCAGCCUUGUGUGAACAGCUGCUUCCCGGUCCUCCCGUGGCACUUGACCCUGCCAACCUCGGGGAAGAUGCCCAGGAAGGAUGGUUCCAGCUGGAGCUGCUGCUGUUCAUGACAUGUACUCUGUGCCGAGUGCAGUGCCAAGAACUUUACGGGUGUCUUCUCCCUUAAUCUCGGUAUUGCUGCCCCCAUUUCACAGAAAAAGAAGCUAAGACUACACAAAUUGCCCAAGUUACUCGCCUGGGGCUUGAACCCAGGUUUCUCUGACUCUAAGGUUCAUGCUCUGAGCACCUCCACCUCCUCUGACUGAGCUGUUUUUUCCAGCACCAGGGAUUGUUUUGAAUUCAGUUCCAUCGCACAUUUAUUAGCAAGGGCCUGUUCUGAGCCAGGCACAGCUCCUGGACAAAAAUUAAUACGUUGUGGUUCCAUCUCUUAAGAAACUUACACACAUUACUCUUAAGAGUUUAACGUCUAUAACAAGAACUCAGCCCAUAAUUAACAAAUAAACUGUAAUAUGUAAGUUCAACCUCAGCCAAAUUUUGAUGCAUAUCCUAAAAGAUGCACAGGAGACAUCCUUUGGGAGCCUAAAAAAGGGCAAGAACACCUCCGUUUGGAGAAACCAGAAGAGCAAGCUUACUGUGAUGUUGAGGUGGGCCCGAAAGGUGGGCUCUUGAUGGGUGGAGAUGGUGGGAAUUGGUUCCCAGCUGACGUCGCCCUUUGGGCUGUAAACCGAACUGGUUGCGGCAGCUGGGUCUUGCCACAGACCCCGUGUUCCUGGUUUGUUUCUUUCCAUAGUUCCGCUUCUCAAAGAUAUUUGCCACUGAGAGCUCAGAAAUGAAGUUUUUAUUUUGAUGCACAUGGUGGGCUCGGGGACCCACAUGAAAAGGUGAGGCUCCUGAUCGCCCCUCAGGGCCUCCUCUCUGUGACUGUGACUUCACCUUCAUUCUAGAAUCUCUCCCACACCUCUGACCCCCCUGGCUGAUCCUCGGAACUUGGUGUUCUGAGCCCUCAGACUGAGGUCUGGAGCAGGAGGCAACCUCCCCUCCAGGGAGGCCCCGGCCACCCACCCACCUGUUCUGCUCAGUGCCUCCUGGCUGGAGCAAGAGCGGUCAGCCACACUGUAUUUUAUUUUAUUUUUUAAUAAUUCAACGGGUUUUAUUAUAUUUAGAGUUGCCAACCAUCAUCACAACCUGAUUUUAGAAGGUUUCCAUCCCAAACUUUCAGUCCGCCCCUCCCUCCCCACAACCUGUCCCCUUUGGUAACCAUAAGUUUUUCAAAGUCUGUAAGUCUCUUUCUGUUUUGCAAGUUCCUUGGCAUCACUUGCCAUCAAUUUCUUGAUGAAGGAAAGACAACUUGGCUUCUUCCGUGUGCGCGACCAGAUCAGUGUUGGAGAUGAUUCAAUUAUGAAGCACCUUGGAGCCCAGAGAUGGGAGGGCUCCUGUAGGCAGCCCUGUGCCCAGGGGAUGAUAAGGGAAUAUUUGCUUACAAGCUGGUUUCCUGAUGUUCGGCAGAAAGAGGACUCUGUACCGGAGCCAGCUGAGGGCUGUUUUCCUUCUGGCACAAUUGCCAAGUGCUUUCUGUCACACCCAGAUUUGCAGGCCGGGGGAACGUGGCUAUUGCUGGUUGUGGCUUUGAGAGCAAGUGAAUAAACAGUAGCUCUCCAAAUGGAAGGGUUCAAAGGCUGUCAAGCCUCCGGCUCCGAUUUGCUUUCUGUUCACAUGCAAGUCCUUUCACCUCUCUGCUUUUCUGUGUCUCCAUCUGGGAGCCAUUGCUCACUUUGCCAGGAUAUCUUCAGUAUGAAUAAGAUAAUGUGUGGAGCCCUUUCAGCUGCUGCAUCAUUAAAAAGCAUUUAUUCGGCACUUAACAUACAGUGACACAGAGAGAAUUGUAAAGACCAGAGCCCUGCCCUGCCUGCUAGAUUAUAUCCUAACAUCGUCUUAGAAAGGCAGACACUCGGCGGCCAAGGAGAGCAACAACUCAGGAUAACUCUUUGUGUCUGUGACACAAAUAAUGAACCAGGACUGACAUGGAACAAGGUCCAGUUGUCAAGAUGGAGCUCAUG
rnacentral:lncRNA from 1 species